rnacentral:sRNA from 1 species
UAAUAGACUAUAUUAGACGUCUACUUAGUCUAGAUCUAGAUUUAUAGAAAUCGUCUACUUUUAGAUAUUGCAGUGAUAAAGAUGUUGUUUAGAUGCACUUUAGCAUUACUAGAUAAGUAAGAUUUUUAAACUGUCAUUAAGUUAUCAUAGACCCCAUCCAAAUUCUAGAUCUAGAGUCUAAUAGAUCAUCUUUAUAGUUAUAGCUAGUAGAGUAGAUCUAUUUUUUAGUUACCAUAGCGACUAAAUGUACUUACCAAAAAUAAAUUUUCACGUCACUAAAAAAUGGCGUCGGCUGGUUAAAAAUCGAGUUAUAACACAUAAUGGCAAAGUCACACUGAUUAUCUCGACUAUUUUCUUACAAAUCAGCAAGAUAUUAACUAAAAUGGUUGACAACUGUUUUACUUCAUUAUAUUGACAACUUUUGUGUGACAAAAAAUUAAGAGAUCCCAGGCAUUUGUCAUAUUGGAGGGUCACUGGUUUGUGCCCUGAAUCAUGCACUACCUGCAUUAUACGCCCUGAAAAUCCUUUUCAGCACUAUGCCAGUUUCAUAUACCAGGUUAGU